GACGAACGCUGGCGGCGUGCUUAACACAUGCAAGUCGAACGAAGUGGCGAACGGGUGAGUAACGCGUAAUCAACCUGCCCUUCAGAGGGGCACAACAGUUGGAAACGACUGCUAAUACCGCAUAUGGACGGAGGGGAUUGCGUCGGAUUAGUUAGUUGGGGGGGUAACGGCCAACCAAGGCGAUGAUCAGUAGGCGGACCGGGGAGAUGAACGGCCACAUUGGGGCUGGGACACGGCCCAGACUCCUACGGGAGGCAGCAGUGGGGAAUCUUCCGGAAUGGACGGAAGUCUGACGGAGCAACGCCGGGUGAGUGAUGACGGCCUUCGGGUUGUAAAGCUCUGUUAGUCGGGACGCGGUACCGGAAUAGAAAGCCACGGCUAACUACGUGCCAGCAGCCGCGGUAAUAC
rnacentral:rRNA from 1 species